AUUGAACGCUGGCGGCAGGCCUAACACAUGCAAGUCGAACGAGUGGCGGACGGGUGAGUAAUGUCUGGGAAACUGCCUGAUGGAGGGGGAUAACUACUGGAAACGGUAGCUAAAUCCGCAUACCAGCGGAUGUGCCCAGGUGGGAUUAGCUAGUAGGUGGGGUAACGGCUCACCAAGGCGACGAUCCCUAGCUGGUCUGAGAGGAUGACCAGCCACACUGGAACUGAGACACGGUCCAGACUCCUACGGGAGGCAGCAGUGGGGAAUAUUGCACAAUGGACGAAAGCCUGAUGCAGCCAUGCCGCGUGUAUGAAGAAGGCCUUCGGGUUGUAAAGUACUUUCAGCGGGGAGGCGUUACCCGCAGAAGAAGCACCGGCUAACUCCGUGCCAGCAGCCGCGGUAAUUC
rnacentral:rRNA from 1 species